AGUGAACGCUGGCGGUAGGCCUAACACAUGCAAGUCGAACGGCAGCACAGUAAGAGCUUGCUCUUACGGGUGGCGAGUGGCGGACGGGUGAGGAAUACAUCGGAAUCUACUUUUUCGUGGGGGAUAACGUAGGGAAACUUACGCUAAUACCGCAUACGACCUACGGGUGAAAGCAGGGGAUCUUCGGACCUUGCGCGAUCGAAUGAGCCGAUGUCGGAUUAGCUAGUUGGCGGGGUAAAGGCCCACCAAGGCGACGAUCCGUAGCUGGUCUGAGAAGGUGAUCAGCCAGCUUGGAACUAAGAGUCGGUCAAAACUACUAAGGGAGGAAGCAGUGGGGAAUAUUGGACAAUGGGCGCAAGCCUGAUCCAGCCAUACCGCGUGGGUGAAGAAAGCCUUCGAGUUGUAAAACCCUUUUGUUGGGGAAGAAAAGCAGCAGGUUAAUACCCCGCUGUUCUGACGUUACCAAAAGAAUAAGCACCGGCUAACUUCGUG
rnacentral:rRNA from 1 species